GCCAUAGCUCAGUGGUAGAACAUCUGCUUUGCUGGUAGAAGAUCUCAGGUUCAAUCCCCAAUAUCUCCA